rnacentral:rRNA from 1 species
CAGUAGCCGCGGUAAUACGUAGGGUGCAAGCGUUAUUCGGAAUUACUGGGUGUAAAGCGUGCGUAGGUGGUGGUUUAAGUCCGUUGUGAAAGCCCUGGGCUCAACCUGGGAAUUGCAGUGGAUACUGGGUCACUAGAAUGUGGUAGAGGAUAGUGGAAUUUCCGGUGUAGCAGUGAAAUGCGUAGAGAUCGGAAGGAACAUCUGUGGCGAAGGCGACUAUCUGGGACAACACUGACGCUGAGGCACGAAAGCGUGGGGAGCAAACAGGAUUAGAUACCCCGGUAGUCCCUGUCUCUUAUAC